GGUUGGGUUUAGGAAAGAAGAAAGGGGAAAGGACACGUCACACGCCGGGACAUGAUCCGCGGUCUCCGGUGGUGCAAGGACAUGAUGCCCUGG